rnacentral:rRNA from 1 species
GACGAACGCUGGCGGCGUGCCUAAUACAUGCAAGUCGAGCGGACGAAUCGAAAGCUUGCUUUUGAUUCGUUAGCGGCGGACGGGUGAGUAACACGUGGGCAACCUGCCCUGUAGACGGGGAUAACACCGAGAAAUCGGUGCUAAUACCGGAUAACACGAAAUGUCGCGUGACGUUUCGUUGAAAGACGGCGCAAGCUGUCGCUACAGGAUGGGCCCGCGGCGCAUUAGCUAGUUGGUGAGGUAACGGCUCACCAAGGCGACGAUGCGUAGCCGACCUGAGAGGGUGAUCGGCCACACUGGGACUGAGACACGGCCCAGACUCCUACGGGAGGCAGCAGUAAGGAAUCUUCCGCAAUGGACGAAAGUCUGACGGAGCAACGCCGCGUGAGCGAAGAAGGCCUUCGGGUCGUAAAGCUCUGUUGUUAGGGAAGAACAAGUAACGCAGUAACUGGCGUUACCGUGACGGUACCUAACGAGAAAGCCACGGCUAACUACGUG